rnacentral:rRNA from 1 species
UACGAGGGGGGCGAGCGUUUGUUCGGAAUUAUUGGGCGUAAAGGGUGCGUAGGCGGUUUGGUAAGUCUUGUGUGAAAUCUACAGGCUCAACUUGUAGUCUGCACGAGAAACUGCCGGGCUUGAGUAUGGGAGAGGUGAGUGGAAUUCCCGGUGUAGAGGUGAAAUUCGUAGAUAUCGGGAGGAACACCAGUGGCGAAGGCGGCGACCUGGACGGACAUUGACGCUGAGACGCGAAAGCGUGGGGAGCAAACAGG